rnacentral:rRNA from 1 species
AGAGUUUGAUCCUGGCUCAGGAUGAACGCUGGCGGCAUGCCUAAUACAUGCAAGUCGUGCGGAAACACUUCGGGUGUCGAGCGGCGGACGGGUGAGUAACGCGUUAGUAUCUGCCCCAAACUGAGGGAUAGCCCACCGAAAGGUGGAUUAAUACCUCAUGUGGCCUUCGGGUUAAAGACUUCGGUCGGUUUGGGAGGAGCUUGCGUCUGAUUAGUUUGUUGGUGAGGUAAUGGCUUACCAAGACGAUGAACAGUAGCUGGUCUGAGAGGAUGAUCAGUCACACUGGAACUGAGACACGGUCCAGACUCCUACGGGAGGCAGCAGUAGGGAAUUUUCCACAAUGGGUGAGAGCCUGAUGGAGCAAUGCCGCGUGCCGGACGAAGGCCUUCGGGUCGUAAACGGCUUUUAUGGGGGAAGAUUAUGACGGUACCCCACGAAUAAGCCACGGCUAACUCCGUGCCAGCAGCCGCGGUCAUACGGAGGUGGCAAGCGUUAUCCGGAAUUACUGGGCGUAAAGAGAUGCGUAGGCGGUUUGUUAAGCGAGAUGUGAAAUUUUGAGGCUCAACCUCAAGGCUAUAUCUCGAACUAAUAAACUAGAGAACGAGAGGGGUAACUGGAAUUUCUGGUGUAGGAGUGAAAUCCGUAGAUAUCAGAAGGAACACCAAUGGCGAAGCAGGUUACUGGCUCGUUUCUGACGCUAAGGCUCGAAAGCGUGGGUAGCGAACGGGAUUAGAUACCCCGGUAGUCCACGCCGUAAACGAUGAAUGCUAGCUCUUUGGAGGUAUCGACCCCUUCAGAAGCGAAGCUAACGCGUUAAGCAUUCCGCCUGGGGAGUACGAUCGCAAGAUUAAAACUCAAAGGAAUUGACGGGGACCCGCACAAGCGGUGGAGCGUGUUGUUUAAUUGGAUGAUAAGCCAAGAACCUUACCUAGGUUUGACAUCCUCCGAAGGACUACGAAAGUAGUUUGUGCCUUUUGGAACGGAGUGACAGGUGUUGCAUGGCCGUCGUCAGCUCGUGUCGUGAGAUGUUAGGUUAAGUCCUUCAACGAGCGCAACCCUUAUGUUUAGUUGGAUUUUUCUAAACAGACUGCCUCGGUAACGGGGAGGAAGGAGGGGACGAUGUCAGGUCCGUAUUACCCUUACACCUAGGGCCACAAACGCGCUACAAUGGCCGGUACAAUGGGCAGCUACGUCGCGAGACUUUAGCUAAUCUCAUCAAAGCCGGUCCCAGUUCGGAUUGCAGGCUGAAACUCGCCUGCAUGAAGUCGGAAUCGCUAGUAACCGUGGGUCAGAACACCACGGCGAAUACGUUCCCGGGUCUUGUACACACCGCCCGUCAUGUCACGAAAGCUGGAAGCACCCGAAGUGUCGCCCGAGGCGACCCCAAGGUGAGACCAGUGAUUGGGAUAAAGUCGUAACAAGGUAACCGUA